rnacentral:rRNA from 1 species
UACGUAGGGUGCAAGCGUUAAUCGGAAUUACUGGGCGUAAAGCGUGCGCAGGCGGUGAUGUAAGACAGGUGUGAAAUCCCCGGGCUUAACCUGGGAACUGCAUUUGUGACUGCAUCGCUGGAGUGCGGCAAAGGGGGAUGGAAUUCCGCGUGUAGCAGUGAAAUGCGUAGAUAUGCGGAGGAACACCGAUGGCGAAGGCAAUCCCCUGGGCCUGCACUGACGCUCAUGCACGAAAGCGUGGGGAGCAAACAGG